rfam:Helianthus annuus linkage group 14, whole genome shotgun sequence.
AUCUUUGCGCUUGGGGCAAUGACUCAGCUAAUGAGGUAAUAACCGAGGCGCGUCAAUUGCUGGUUGAAAACUAUUUCCAAACCCCCUCCUUGGCUUUGGGUCUCCCUUGGCCAUCGAGAAUUUCUGGAAGGACUCCCUUAAUUGGGUAAAGUC